GGCUAGGUAGCUCAGUUGGUAGAGCAGCGGACUGAAAAUCCGCGUGUCAGGGGUUCGACUCCCUUCCUAGCCACCA
rnacentral:tRNA from 1 species